AAUGAUGUGGUCUCCUGGAUUGGAUGCUAGAAUGGAAAAAGACAUUAGUGAAAUCCAAACAAAGGAUAUAAUUUAGUUAAUAGUGUGUACCAAUGUUAACCUCAGUUUUAUAACUGUACCCUAGUUACGUAAGAUGUGAACAUGAGGGCCGCUGGGUGAAGGGUGCAGGGAACUCUUCCAUCCGUACAACUCUUCUGUAAAUCUAAAAUGAUUGCAAAACAAACAAGCGCUACAUAUCUUGGAUAAUUGUUCUGGUUAUAUUUUAAUUCUUGCUCAAUCAAAAAAUCUGUCAAGUCUUUUGUGUUUUUGAGUGUUGUGCUUUAAAGCAUUGGGGGUGAGGGUUUGCCAGAUCUGGUGCUUCUGAGGUUUCUGGGUAAGAACAAAGGUCUGGCUAGAACCUCGGAAUCUUCCCCUCCAGCUGGAGCCCGGAACUCAGCAUCCCAGGGAGGGGCCUCGCUGGAGCCAUGCCCUCUCCUGCAGGGUUGCUGGCUUCUGGCGAUGAAAAGAUGCUCAACAAAGCUCGAGGGAACUUUUCCCUCCAGGUUCACAGGGGACAUUUCUCAGGUGUAAGAGCUGUCCACGAAGCUCGCUGGUUGCUCCAGAAUGGGUGGGUAGGAGAGAAAAGGCCCUUCCCACAAGGGUGGAGGAAUCCCAGAGCCGCUGAGCUGGGAGAUCUCAGUGCUCACGGGUCUGAUGCGCACAUUGCAGAGUCUGGGAGAACAAAGGCCAGAGAGACGGGGAGGCCGGGCCACGCCUGCCCCGAGCGAGGGUAGGGCAGUGCUGGCCUUUGAGUCCAGGUCUCUUGAUCUGCAAUUCUAGGGCCCUUCUCAUUAUUUCAUCUUUGUCCCUGAACUUGACAAGUAGGUGUCUGUGUAAGGGGAACUUGUCUCUGGGCUUCAGAGAGCCCAGAGCUUAAUUCCUGGCUCCUUGUGACUCCCUCUGCCUCUGUGGAGGAAAAUGUCUCCUUUUCCAUUACUUACAAGAGGUGGGCUCUGUGAGAGGCCUCCAAUCUGCCAGCUGCCGACACUUCGCAGAAUGAAAUCAUCCUGCUGAAUUGAUAAAUUCCGGAACUACUUCCAUCUGAGGCCUGGCCGGUCCCCACCUGGUGCACUUGACUGAGGAGGGUUCUGCUCCAGUUCACCUCUCUCAGCUGACGUGGGUGUUCAGCUGAGACGAAUGGGCUAUAUUGCCAUGAAAUUUCCCCAGAAUUUGUGCCAUGCCGCCCCCCAGCCUGCCAGACCACACAGGGGCCUCAGGAUCUGCCUGAACAUCUCAUCGAGGCUCGGUCUGCCUAGAAGACACUUUGGGAAAAAGCGAUUGCUUCUAAAAUCGUUCGCAGUAAAGUGCCUCUGAUUUAUUUUGCUUGAGGAAAGAAAGAAAUGAUCCUGGCCUAUGGCUUUGAGCAGGAAGGUGAUGGGGAGACGGGAGCAGUGGUUCUCAGCAGGCUAUGCAGUAGAAUCACCUGGUGACCCCAUUCCGAUUUAAUCGAUUUGAGGGCCCAGGCAUGGGUAUUUUUCACAGUGCCUUAAAUAGCUUUCCUAAACAGCUCGGGCUGAGAACAGGAUCGGAGGGAAAGGGGGAAAGAGCCUUGAAGUCAGCGGAUGGGAUUCCUUAUGUUUGCUAAGUCAAGAAACUUUCUAGAGAGGGGAAGGACUUGCCCGAGGUUCUGUAUAUUGUUGGCAAAUAAAAUUCAAGUUUCAGCUGAGCAAAAAUCUGUGCGUCACCUAGUCUGUGCUGGGUGAGCAGGAAACCAGGAUGUGAGGGGUGGUUUCUCCCAGCCACUCACCCAGCUGUCACAGGAAGCAGAAGAGGGGAAGGGCCAAUCCCAACAGAGAAGUUUGGGGAGGCGGCGCCCAGCUCCCACCAUGGUCCCCUCCACCAUCUCCUCCCGCAUAACGCUGCAAACCUGAAGGUUGAGUGGCGGUCUCCUUUGAACAGCCUCUCCUUUGAGAGCGAGGAUGUGAGAAGCCGGUCCAGGUGUCGGUCAGUGGAGUGACAUCCUUGAGCUGCAAUUUCGGGAAGUCAUCUGGUCAUCUGUGCAAGGUAGCUUCACCUGAAACCCAAGUCUUGAUCAUCAUUUCGUCUUGGACAAAGCUCUCUCCUCAGACUUUAGGUUCCUUCCCCACUUGUCUGCGAAUCCAGUGACCUUCCCCAGGCCUCGUGCUGCUGGGAGAGGAGCGUGUUGCAGACCUAACAGCCCCAGGAUGUCUUCUCUCCUCAAGAUCUCCUUCCUCUGCCCUGGGGCUCAGGCAGGAAGAUCUGGAAGGUUCAAAUGUGAACUGAGG
ensembl:lncRNA